AUCCGCGGCCAUAGGAUCAGGAAAGCACCGCAUCCCGUCCGAUCUGCGAAGUUAAGCCUGAUACCGCCGAGUUAGUACUAAGGUAGGGGACUACUUGGGAAUCCUGGGUGCUGCGGUU
rnacentral:rRNA from 11 species